UACGUAGGGUGCAAGCGUUAAUCGGAAUUACUGGGCGUAAAGGGUGCGUAGGCGGUUCGUUAAGUCUGUCGUGAAAUCCCCGGGCUCAACCUGGGAAUGGCGAUGGAUACUGGCGAGCUAGAGUGUGUCAGAGGAUGGUGGAAUUCCCGGUGUAGCGGUGAAAUGCGUAGAGAUCGGGAGGAACAUCAGUGGCGAAGGCGGCCAUCUGGGACAACACUGACGCUGAGGCACGAAAGCGUGGGGAGCAAACAGG
rnacentral:rRNA from 1 species